rnacentral:sRNA from 1 species
UCUUGGUCAUUUAGAGGAAGUAAAAGUCGUAACAAGGUUUCCGUAGGUGAACCUGCGGAAGGAUCAUUAUUGAAUGAACUUGGUGUGGUUGUAGCUGGCCCUCUCGGGGGCAUGUGCACACUCGCCAUCUUUAUUUCUCCACCUGUGCACAUCUUGUAGACCUGGAUAGACUUUCCGAGGCAACUCGGUCGGGAGGACUGCUGUGCGUCACUGCCAGCUUUCCUUGCAUAUCUAGGCCUAUGUUUUCAUAUACCCCAUAGUAUGUAACAGAAUGUAUCAUUGGGCCUCGUGCCUAUAAACUAUAUACAACUUUCAGCAACGGAUCUCUUGGCUCUCGCAUCGAUGAAGAACGCAGCGAAAUGCGAUAAGUAAUGUGAAUUGCAGAAUUCAGUGAAUCAUCGAAUCUUUGAACGCACCUUGCGCUCCUUGGUAUUCCGAGGAGCAUGCCUGUUUGAGUGUCAUUAAAUUCUCAACCUUACCAGCUUUUGCGAGUUCGGUAAUGGCUUGGAUGUGGGGGUUUUGUGCCGGCUUCCUGGUGAAGUCAGCUCCCCUUAAAUGUAUUAGCCGGUGCCCUUUGUGGACUGUCUAUUGGUGUGAUAAUUAUCUACGCCGUGGACUUCUGCUUUGAAUAGGUGCAUUGCUUCUAACCGUCUGUUCAUUCGGACAAUACUUGACAAUUUGACCUCAAAUCAGGUAGGACUACCCGCUGAACUUAAGCAUAUCAAUAAGCGGAGGAAAAGAAACUAACAAGGAUUCCCCUAGUAACUGCGAGUGAAGCGGGAAAAGCUCAAAUUUAAAAUCUGGCGGUCUUUGGCCGUCCGAGUUGUAAUCUAGAGAAGUGUUAUCCGCGCUGGACCGUGUACAAGUCUCCUGGAAUGGAGCGUCAUAGAGGGUGAGAAUCCCGUCUUUGACACGGACUGCCAGGGCUUUGUGAUGCGCUCUCAAAGAGUCGAGUUGUUUGGGAAUGCAGCUCAAAAUGGGUGGUAAAUUCCAUCUAAAGCUAAAUAUUGGCGAGAGACCGAUAGCGAACA